rnacentral:rRNA from 1 species
UGAUGACGAGACGCUAAGGCGUUGAAGCAGUGUAUGUCAGACUUCCAAGAAAAGCUCGCACUGUCAUAAACAAAUAAUGCCUGUACCAUAACCGACACAGGUGGGUAGGUAGAGUAUACUAAGGGGCGCGAGAUAACUCUCUCUAAGGAACUCGGCAAAAUGACUCCGUAACUUCGGGAGAAGGAGUGCCUUAUUUAUAAGGUUGCAAUAACAAGAUCCAAGCAACUGUUUAUCAAAAACACAGGUCUCCGCUAAGUCGUAAGACGAUGUAUGGGGGCUGACGCCUGCCCAGUGCCAGAAGGUUAAAGAAGUUGGUUAGUGUAUGCGAAGCUGAUGACUGAAGCCCUGGUGAACGGCGGCCGUAACGAUAACGGUCCUAAGGUAGCGAAAUUCCUUGUCGGGUAAGUUCCGACCCGCACGAAAGGCGUAAUGAUUUGGAUACUGUCUCGGAGAGAGGCUCGGUGAAAUAGACUUGUCUGUGAAGAUGCGGACUACCUGCACCAGGACAGAAAGACCCUAUGAAGCUUUACUGUAACUUGAAAUUGGAAUUGGACUUUGCUUGCGCAGUAUAGGUGGGAAGCGUUGAAAAUAUUCUUGCGGGAGUAUUGGAGCUAUCAGUGAGAUACCACUCUUGUAAUGUUAGAUUUCUAACUUUGAACCAUAAUCUGGUCAAAGAACAGUUUCAGGUGGGCAGUUUGACUGGGCGGUCGCCUCCCAAAUGGUAACGGAGGCGUACAAAGGUUUCCUCUGAACGGAUAGAAAUCGUAUCUAGAGUGUAAAGGCAUAAGGAAGCUUGACUGUGAGACCUACAAGUCGAGCAGGGACGAAAGUCGGUCUUAGUGAUCUGACGGUACUGAGUGGAAAGGCCGUCACUCAACGGAUAAAAGUUACUCUAAGGAUAACAGGCUGAUCUCCCCCAAGAGUUCACAUCGACGGGGAGGUUUGGCACCUCGAUGUCGGCUCAUCGCAUCCUGGGGCGGUAGUACGUCCCAAGGGUUGGGCUGUUCGCCCAUGAAAGCGGUACGCGAGCUGGGUUCAGAACGUCGUGAGACAGUUCGGUCCAUAUCCGGUGUAGGCGCUAGAAUAUUGAGAGGAGCCUUCUUUAGUACGAGAGGACCGAGAAGGACACACCGCUGGUGUACCAGUUAUCGUGCCAACGGUAAACGCUGGGUAGCUAUGUGUGGAGUGGAUAACCGCUGAAAGCAUCUAAGUGGGAAGCCCACCUCGAGAUGAGUAUUCCC